rnacentral:rRNA from 1 species
GAUGAACGCUGGCGGCGUGCCUAAUACAUGCCAGUCGAACGCUUCUUUCCUCCCCUUUCCUUGCACUCGAUUGCGGCGGGGAGGUGCGUACCGCUGAGUAACACUUGCUUAACGUACGCGUCAACUUCGGAUAACACGUGCUAACACGUGCUAAUAUCUCGUAACAGUUUAUUCCGCAUUGCAUAAGGGUUUUAGUCUCUCUCGUGUGUCGCUGAGGGCUGCAUCCGCGGUGCAUUAGCUAGUUGGUUAGGUAACGGCUUACCAAGGCAACGAUGCAUAGCCGACCUGAGAGGGUGAUCGGCCACACUGGAACUGAGACACGGCCCAGACUCCUACGGGAGGCAGCAGUAGGGAAUCUUCGGCAAUGGGCGAAAGCCUGACCGAGCAACGCCGCGUGAGUGAAGAAGGUCUUCGGAUCGUAAAACUCUGUUAUUAGGGAAGAACAAGGGUGUAAGUGACUGAACGUGUCCUGACGGUACCUAACCAGAAAGCCACGGCUAACUACGUG